rnacentral:rRNA from 1 species
GGGUCAGUAGGUUGGUCGUGCCACCGGUACGUACUGGUCUCACUGAUUCCUCCUUCCUGAAGGACCGUAAUGCCAUUAAUUUGGUGUUGCGGGGAAACAGGACUGUUACUUUGAAAAAAUUAGAGUGUUUAAAGCAAGCUAACGCUUGAAUACAUUAGCAUGGAAUAAUGAAAUAGGACGAUCGAUCCUAUUUUGCUGGUUUCUAGGAUUGACGUA